UGCUUAUAUAAUUUUUUUGACAGUAAGACUUAUGGCACAGAAUAGAUCUAAUACUUCUGCCUGGAAAAGAAGCAAUAGAGAAAAUUAAUUUGCUAGAUUUGAAAGCACAACCCGGUAUUUUAGUGUUUAGUGAAUUGAUAGCAUCAUCACAAACACCAUACAAACAGAGGAAUUUUGUCUAAUUAGCUAAUAACAACAUACAUGAACAGAUACACGGGUGAAGUAUGUGUGCAUCACCCAUCUGUGUAAUACUAACCGCAAGUACCAAAAUAAAUUAUCUUAGUUUUGUACAGAAAGCCCAACUGAUGAAGCUAGCAUAACUUCCAAAAGUCAUUCUUGACAGGAACUCCCGUACUACUAACCUGAAAAAAAGAAAAUGAAAAAAGAUUAGUAAAAUUCAGAAACAAGCAAAUAAGCAAAAGAGAAGUUUUCUUGAACCAGAUUUUAUCUUCUAAUUACCAACAGAGAAUUGAUUAUGUCCUUGUUAAACCCAACUGGUGAAGCAAGCAUAACUUCCAAAAGCCAGUCUUGGCAGGAACUCCUGAAUCACUAACCUGAAAAAAGCAUAUCCAUAUAGAGAUGAGAGCUGAAAAAAGCUUAUCCAUGGGUUGAACACUCGAGACUUCAGUUGUGCCUAACUAUAAAUAAUAAAUUGUGGUUGCUACAUAUAGGAGUGUUUCCUUCUAUUUGUUUUCACAUCAAAAUCACCUUCUUGCUCGUCGUCGCUAAUUUAAAAAUGGAAAAUAUCAACCAAGAUAUAAGAGCAGUUACAGUAAUCCACCUGAUCUUGUCCACGGGAUCAAUUUUUGGGAAAUGCAGAUGCAUCUCACGCCCAGAGAUGAAGGUUCUCCUGACAUUGUCAUGAUAGUACAUGUCCCAGGCUCCCAGCAGCGGUAUCCUAUGAUCUGUCCUCGUCAAUGGUAAUGGGGAUAAAACAUGGAAAGGCCUGUCAGUGGGAGGGGAUGGCAAGGGCCAGCACGGUGCCCACUCUGCAGCCCUUGGCACCGGCCGUCGCCUUCCCUUCCGGCAGGCUGGCGAUGGUUCCGUAAAGGAACAGAAGUGAAUCGGCAUGCGUUGUGUGCUGGAGCGGGGCUCCGCCACAACCUAGAAGGCGGCGAGAGCCAUGGAGUUGCUAGUUGCUAUAGGUGGCUGGCUGCUGCGAGUGGCCUGGACCGGCGAG
rnacentral:lncRNA from 1 species